UUCCAAAUUCGCGCUGAAGGUCAGAUUCAAGAUUUACUUUCGAAAAGUUAGCAAUGAUCAAUCAAUACUUUCACAAAUGCUGUACAGAAAUAAAUGUAAUAAAAACUGAACGUUUGCAACUAGUUGCUCAGUGAGACUUUGAUCCAGUACACUGAUAUUGACAUGGUACAUUUAAAUAAUACAUAGAACAGCAGUCUAAACUUUUGUGAAGCAUAGAGUACUUUUCAUCAUAUUUCUGUCAGUGACAAACUUUACUUAAGUGCACAGAAAUAAAUACACUUCACAAUAGGUGGAAUUUAAAGUUUUCUAACAGAGUACACUCUAGGGCGCACUGUAGGGGCACAACUUAGGGCGUUUUCUCACUGGAAACGAUAGUUCCGUUCCGUUCCCGAGUACGAUUUCUCCCCCUCCCUAAUCCCCCGGCAGGUGCACAUCGUAACAUCGGUUCCGAUCCCGGGCUCACAUGCGUAUUUACACAACCGGAAACAGUAGGUGGCGGUAGAGAGGUAGUUUGUUUCUCUGCUGUCCAAAAUGAGAAAGAAGAAGAAACCGUGCGUCAUAAACUAAUUACACCUGUUUAUGCUCUAAAUGGAUGUUGUUGUUUUUUUUUUGACAAAAUCAACGGCGCUGUGAACAACAUUCCUACUGACACAUCUAUCGCGCGGCUCAGAGGGUUUAAUGAGCGCGCGCUGCGCGGAUACGGCACGAGGAAUGAUUGUAAAACUACCCUGUAAGGAUCAUCUGGGUUCAAGGGAGGUCUGGUGUGUGAUGGAAGCAUGUCCUUGUGACCAGGAAUGGCUGCCAAAUCUUUCUACCAAGAAGACAACAUUCCUAUAAGAGAAAUGCUUGUGCUCUUUUUGCCUUACAUUGUGUAGUUUUUCAAACUUAGUUAAUGUGCUGAAACUAUUGAACCUGAAACCUUACCAUGCAUCAAUGUUUUGUGUGCAGUCUGUUUAUACUGUAUUUUUGAAAAUAAAUGUAUUCUGUAAAAUCCAA